rnacentral:rRNA from 1 species
UGGGGAAUAUUGGACAAUGGGCGCAAGCCUGAUCCAGCCACGCCGCGUGAGUGAUGAAGGCCUUCGGGUUGUAAAGCUCUGUGGGGAGGGACGAAAAAAGCGACUAAGAAACGAGUCGCUCUUGACAGUACCUCCUUAGCAAGCACCGGCUAACUCUGUGCCAGCAGCCGCGGUAAUACAGAGGGUGCGAACGUUGCUCGGAAUUACUGGGCGUAAAGCGCGUGUAGGCGGGUGAUCAAGUCGGAUGUGAAAGCCCUGGGCUCAACCCAGGAACUGCAUUCGAAACUGGUCGCCUAGAGUGCUGGAGAGGGAAGCGGAAUUCCUGGUGUAGAGGUGAAAUUCGUAGAUAUCAGGAGGAACACCGGUGGCGAAGGCGGCUUCCUGGACAGUUACUGACGCUGAGACGCGAAAGCGUGGGGAGCAAACAGG